AACGAACGCUGGCGGCAGGCUUAACACAUGCAAGUCGAACGCCCCGCAAGGGGAGUGGCAGACGGGUGAGUAACGCGUGGGAACAUACCCUUUCCUGCGGAAUAGCUCCGGGAAACUGGAAUUAAUACCGCAUACGCCCUACGGGGGAAAGAUUUAUCGGGGAAGGAUUGGCCCGCGUUGGAUUAGCUAGUUGGUGGGGUAAAGGCCUACCAAGGCGACGAUCCAUAGCUGGUCUGAGAGGAUGAUCAGCCACAUUGGGACUGGGACACGGCCCAAACUCCUACGGGAGGCAGCAGUGGGGAAUAUUGGACAAUGGGCGCAAGCCUGAUCCAGCCAUGCCGCGUGAGUGAUGAAGGCCUUAGGGUUGUAAAGCUCUUUCACCGAUGAAGAUAAUGACGGUAGUCGGAGAAGAAGCCCCGGCUAACUUCGUG
rnacentral:rRNA from 1 species